rnacentral:rRNA from 1 species
UCCGGUUGCUAAUACCCCGUAGGCUGAGGAGCAAAAGGAGAAAUCCGCCCAAGGAGGGGCUCGCGUCUGAUUAGCUAGUUGGUGAGGUAAUAGCUUACCAAGGCGAUGAUCAGUAGCUGGUCCGAGAGGAUGAUCAGCCACACUGGGACUGAGACACGGCCCAGACUCCUACGGGAGGCAACAGUGGGGAAUUUUCCGCAAUGGGCGAAAGCCUGACGGAGCAAUGCCGCGUGGAGGUGGAAGGCCUACGGGUCGUCAACUUCUUUUCUCGGAG